rnacentral:rRNA from 1 species
UACGGGGGGGGCAAGCGUUGUUCGGAAUUACUGGGCGUAAAGGGCUCGUAGGCGGCCGACUAAGUCAGACGUGAAAUCCCCAGGCUUAACCUGGGAACUGCGUCUGAUACUGGAUGGCUUGAGAUUGGGAGAGGGAUGCGGAAUUCCAGGUGUAGCGGUGAAAUGCGUAGAUAUCUGGAGGAACACCGGUGGCGAAGGCGACAUCCUGGACCAACACUGACGCUGAGGAGCGAAAGCCAGGGGAGCAAACGGG